rnacentral:rRNA from 1 species
GACGAACCGUGCGAACGUUAUUCGGAAUCACUGGGCUUAAAGCGCGUGUAGGCGGGCCGCCGCGUCGGGCGCUGAAAUCCCCCGGCUCAACCGGGGAACGGGCACCGAUACGGGCGGCCUGGAGGGGGGUAGGGGGGGCCGGAACUCACGGUGGAGCGGUGAAAUGCGUUGAGAUCGUGAGGAACGCCCGUGGCGAAAGCGGGCCCCUGGACCCUUGCUGACGCUGAGACGCGAAAGCCAGGGGAGCGAACGGG